GGGGCUAUAGCUCAGCUGGGAGAGCGUCGCAAUGGCAUUGCGAAGGUCUGGGGUUCGAAUCCCCAUAGCUCCACCA
rnacentral:tRNA from 1 species